AGCUGCCCCCGGAGGACACCCGCCUCCUGGCUGCCGGAGCGAUUCCGCGCCCGGUCCCGCGGCUCUUGCUCCCGCCUGGCGCGGCGCUCCCCGCUCAGGUGCGCUCCCCGGCCGCGCCCUGUAGACAGCAGGUGCUCGCGAAGCGCUGAGCGCGGCUCCAGGAGCCGGAUCCCUUCCGCAGCCACGGCUGUCACAGAAGCGGGACCCACGGAGAGCAGGUAGCAGAACAUUCAACUCAGACCAGUUGAAGCAAAAAAGGACAUUUUUAUUUAUAACCAUUGAGUCCAGGAGUAUCUAACUUCAGUAUUUGCCUGGCCACUCCCAGCUGUGGUUCUCAUAGCGAAUCCGGAAUAAGAGUGGGCUUCCCUGCCUGCUCAGCGGAAGUCCAAGGGCAUCAGCUCAGAUUGGCUUGACUUGUCCCACCCCUGAGCCAGUCUCUGAGGCUGGGAUGGAAGGUCACCAGCUCGACCUUCAGGCCCCACUGUGGAGUCAAUGUCGCUGGCUCACGGUACAUUGGGAAGAGAAGAGAAGUGGUCCUAAUAAAAACUAGGAUGUUAUCAUGGGACAGAAGAGUGGAUUCCAGAGAGAAAAAAUAACAAAUGACUCUUCGAAUGGUGUAAAAGGAGACCCGUGGUGAGCAGAGAUGACAGAACAGCUCCACGUCAAAGGCCAAGGCCAACUGAUGGCCAGUGGCUCUCUGGAAUGCCAUGUGGAGAAACAGUCCGAGACUAAGCCAAGGAAAAAUGCAGUGUCAUAACCGAUGAGAAAACGCCGAGUGCCAGCUGUUUGUCUGCCUUUGUUUGCACAUUAGCCAGUGGAAAUGAUUACAAAUGAAAACAUA